AGACUCUGUCUCAAAAAAAAAAAAAAAAAAGUUUUAUUAGUAGUUAUCUGUUGCUUUGUAACAAUUUACCAACAACUAUCAGCUUAAAAGAGCAAGCAUUUAUUGUCUCACGUUUUCUGCAUGUUAGGGGUCCAGACAUGGCUUGACCGAAUCCUUUGCAAGACUGUGAUCACAGCGUUGCCAGAGCUGGGUUCUCAUUUAAGGUUUAACUGGGGAAGGACCAAGAUUCCAAGCUCACUGGCAGCUUCUAGCUGACUGCAGGAUGGAAGCACUCAGGUCCUCACUACAUGUUCCUCUCUUCCUGUGGCAGUUCAUAAUGUGGCAGUUUGCUUCUUCAAAACCACCAAGGGAGAGAGCCUCUUAGUAAGAUGGACAUUACAUUCUUAGGCAACAUAAUCAUGUAUGUGUAAUCACAUACAUCCUGCCACUUUUUCUGUAUUCUGUUGGUUAGAAGCAAAUCAACAGGAACCACUCACGCUCGGGAGGAGGGGAACACACAAGGGCAUGCAAACCACAGGUGAGCAUCAUGUGCUUCACCUAUCUACUCACUGCAAAAAGUAAACAAAAUAUCACACUAUAAGUGCAUUGAAGAAAGAUAAAAGGGUGAUAAGUAACUGGGAGAGCCCACUUUAGCCAGUGAUCUGGGAUUCCCUUUCUUUGAACUAAGAAUAAGAAGUUUCUGCCAGACCAAGCGCUGCAGAGAGGGUGUUCCUGGAAAAGGGUACAGCAGCCCAAAGGCCCAGAAACUGGAAGGAGCUUAAUGUGUUUAACAAAAAGAAAUGAUGUCAGUGUGGUGAGGCCUGGUGAGCAAAGGGUAAAUGUAGGAGAGAGAGGAGCUCAUUGUGCAAGACCCCAUAGAGUGAGAAGUUUACACAAAAGAGCAAAGAGAAGAAUCUCACAUGGCGGUGAUGUGAUCCUGAAAAUCACAGGUGAUGCAUUGGGAGUAGGAAGGCCAGUUAGGAGGUCUACAGAGGCCCAGAGCAGAGGCUGGUUGUGGCUUAAAACUUGCACUAUGGUGGGAGUAACGAAGACUUCUCAUUUGGAGAGCAAGCAGCAUUUGGUGAUGUUGGAGAAGGAAGGAGGACACAAGGUUGGCCCCUAGAUUUUUAGCUUGAGGCAGUGGGAGGAUGGUAACACUAUUGUAGGAGCAAAGAAAGCCAAACUUCCUAUCCACCCCCUGAAGGUUCACUAAAAUGAACUGACAACAAACAGAUUAACAGGAGAAAAGGCACACAAAUUUAGUAACAUGCACUUGGACAUGGAAGUCCCACAGAUCUGAGACUCAAAGGAAGGCCUGAUGGUUGAAACUUAUACAUUGGGAGAUGGGGGAAUUGUAGGCAAUUUCGAUGGAUUGUAAGUGAUUUUUAGAGGAAUUGAAUGGGCCCAAAGAGCAGACAAUAGUUUGCAAAUGAUUUUCUUUGGAAACUGAAUGGGGGGCAAGUCACUGAAAAGUGAGGGGCAGAACUGCAUUUUUGAACAAAGGUUGCGUAUUAUGCAGAUAAAGUCUCUUGUGUCUUGAAGCUGCCCUCAAAAGAAUAUAUAAAAAAGUCUGGGCACAGUGCCAACUUUUAGUCUCUUCUCCAGUGGUUAAACUUUCCUGGUUAUUUGAUGAGAUUCUUGGGGCAGGGGGUCUUCAGACAAUGGCAUCUUUUGGAAGUUUUCUUCCUUCAGACAAAAGGGAACUUCCAGAGAGACCCCUUCCCUGGAAGAAACAAGAGGUUAGAAAGUCUUUGAUUCUGAGGCAUCUUCUAGGGCCUUCCAAUUUCCUUUAAUUAAAAUAUGCUCAGUGUGCCAAAGCACCAUACUUCUUCUCUGUGCCUAAGCACUAUUUUCUGAGAUGGGGCUGUGUGAAAAUGCCAAGUUAUAAAGGCCUUUUUGACACCAAGAGGAUGUGUCAAGUAGACAGCUGGCUCAGAGAGCAGGUCCAGGCUGGGAAUACAGGUCUGGGAGUAUUUUCUGCACUGAGAGCUUUACACAGCCUUUUGUGGGACACUCUUCACAGAGUAGCCAAGAGAUUGUUUCAAAACAUUUUUUUGAUCCCAUAAACACCCUUGCUUCAAACUCACCAAGUACAAAGUGCUUUCCCAAGGCACUUAGAAGUGCUAACUCUUUCUUCUCAUGAAUCAUUCCAUGAUCAAAGACCAAUCACAAUCUUCUCCUGCUUGCUUCUCAUUUUUUAUAUUCUGUCAGCCUGUGGAUUUUAGAGAUGAAACCAAGAUUCAAAACGACUCACCCAGUUCAGCCAAGAAACGUGGCAUAUAAAUGAAGGCUUGGCAACAAGGUUAUUAAUUCAGGCCUUCUUUAUGCUGCAUGGGCAAAGGCCAAUGAAAUGGAGUGAAAUAAGGUACAGAAUCCCAACACAGUACCUGCCACAGAAUGCACCCAUGAAGAAUAGUUAUCAAAAUGCACGGUUGCAUGAAUCAUUUAAAACUGAGUGACACAGGAAGAUGUAAAAGGCCUAUUGUUAACCAAGCUGUGGAGGACCAUUAAGGACUUAAGGCUAGUAAGAAGGUAUCACUGUCUUUUUAGACACAGCCCAAUGUGUGGCUCAUUAGAAAGGUAAUUAAUCCCCAGAGCAUGAACACUGUGACCUUAUACAGUCACAAUGUUAAUUCACCAGUAUGUCCAGGGUUUUUGUUUAUUUUUUUCAGUAUUUGCCAUGUGUUGGGUGCUAUUGAUAUUUUAAGCCCUGUACACAUCAUGUUUCCAGUCAAUCUGCACUACUACUCACUUCAGAGAUUAGGAAGCUGAAAGAUUGAGAAGUUAAAUUGCCCGAGAGCAGAUAGAAGUAGGAUUCAAACCCAGUUUGCUGUCAAAUGUUAACUUCUUUGCCUGCCUUAGAGGUUUUCUGGUAUUUGGUCCCAUUCUGCAACAUAUGUUGUGGUGACAGUACCUAUGACCUUUGCUGUUGUGUGGAGUAACUGCAGGGAUCGCCGGUUGCAUAGAAUGAAAUGCAAACAGUCGGCUCCCACUAAAGUUGUGCCCAUAAUAGCACCGUCUCAGCCACCAUCUCUGUGCGGCUUCUAUUGUUUUACUCUGCAGAAAUCAUGACACCCAGUGGUGGCAUGAUCAGGUAUGAGUUUCCACAAGGUUUAGGAUGACUAACAGUACUUUCAUUUGUAUUCUGAUGUGUUUCCUUGAGUAGGAGAGAAAAGGUGGAGUAGAGAGAGGAGGUGGAAUUUGAGAAUAACCUGCCUUCUCUAUCUGUGUCACCGCACCCUGCAAAACACGUGUGCACAUGCACACACGUACCCUUAGGGAUAUGUAUGAUACCCUUAGGGAUCACACCUAUGUGAGCACACAUGUGCAUGUGCACACACAUUCUCCCUGGGUGCUUGGUAAGAAUUGUGACAAUUAUGAAUUAUUGAAGUGCUUUCUUUGCCUUUCUGGGGAAAAGGAAGGGAGGGGGGAUUAUAUCCAAAUCAGGAAUGCUUCUUGGAUGUGUCAUUAUGGUGACUAUCAUCCGUCAUGCAUGGUGGAAAAGUUGAAAAUCAGUGAUGCUGGAACUAUCCCUCUUCCACACCUCCCAUCUACAACAUUCCCACCUUCCACGACCCAACUCCAUGAAGUCGUGUCUCACUCAUGUACACUGUUUCUCCACUGAGCAGGUAACAACCUCUCUGUCCUUUGAUUUCCUCACUCUGCAGUGAGAAUGCCACCCAACCCCUGAGCCACUGGGAGACCAAGGCAAGUUAUCUCAAAAUUAUGCAAGUGUCACAAAAUGUUGGAAAUGUUAUACCUUUGCUUGACUAGAUCUCGUUUGCUGUUGGUCCCUUAUAUUGGACUUCCUCCCUCCCCUCCUGUCCAGCCCAUCUCUUAUUAGUGCCCUGGGGAUGGAGACAAAGUGUGUAUUCCACUUCAGGUAGCCCAAGCCUCAUGCAUAGAAGCCCCUGAGCAAUAUUUUUUUGUUGAUUAGAAAGUCUGAGAAGACUAAAUCUGGAGAAGUCGUUCCCAACUGGGGGUAAUUACCUCUCCCCUCUACCCCUGGAGGACAUUUGGCAUUGACAUUGGUGUGUCUGGAGGCAUUUUUGAUUGUCACGACUGUGUGCUUGUGGGGGUUGCUGCUGGCAUCUAAUGGGUAGAGGCUAGAGAUGCUGCUCAUCAGCUUACCAAGAACAAGACAGCCCCCCGCAACCAAGAAUAAUCAGGACCCAAAUGUCAAUAAUGCCAAGGCUGAAAAACCAUGAUCUUGAUAAAUAAUAAGAAUUAAGAUAAUUAGACUGAGCAAUGGCAGAGCUAGUCUGGGGUGGGGCUGGAAUUGGCCAGGUCUGUCCCAGAGCGGCCAGUUAUGCUAGGGGCAUCAGCGAAACACACACCUUCACAUUUGUAAAAUAAAGUUUUCAAAGAGCUUUCAUAUCAGUUACCAUCCUUGGCAUUUGAUAACAGAGAAGUUAUUCUGCUCUCUCCCAUCCCCUAUUCUUCAGAUGAAAGAAGAGGAAGCACAGCUAACCAAGUCAAGUCACCUGUCCAGGUUCUCAGAGAUAUAGCUAGUGAUUAAGCCAUAGCACCUGGUUAUCAGUCUCCCGGGCCAGGCAUGGUUCCUCUCCUCCUUUUUUGUUAAAGCAAAGUGACAAGGACAAGACAUUGGGGGGAGGGGGUGGACUUGUGUGUCCCAUGGCAGCUGGGAGUUGAUCAUCCAGGCUGGAGAGGGCACACUCUGGGCCUCAGCUCCAGCAGACGUCGUUCAGCUUUUCAAACUCGGGAGGAAACUCAGGGCUCAGCACGUGUGCUGAUAUUCCCUAUGCCCUGUUUGGAGCUCCUGUGCUGGAGCUUCAAGCCCCAUCUGGAAAUUUAAAAAACCAUCUUAAGGAAAUGAAGUGUCCUAAAGAAAGUGUUUCAUCUCUGAGCCAGGAGAGGGCGCUCACAUGCAGGCCAUCUGAAGCUGGCUCAGUGGAGACUCACUAAGCGCUGAGGGCUGGAAGAAGUAUCAGACUUCUUGAACUUGAAUGUGCAAACCUACAGGGAGCCUGUGAAAGGCGGAUUCUGAGUGCAUAGGUCUGCGGCAGAGUUCCUGCAUUGCUUACCAGCUCCCAGGCGAAGCCUUCUACUAACCACACCUUGAGUAGCAAGGAUACCAUGGCAACAAGUGUUCAUCCCAGCAGCUGCUCCACGACAGUUUGGCUUUCCGCUUUUCAAGCUCUGCUUUGGCAUUUGUGGCAAACACAUCAGAACCAAGACAUGCAGUGGGGCAGCCUUGAGGCCCAGGUGACUUUGGUCCUGACCUCUGAAAAGGACCAACUUGCAGAUGAGAGAUCCUAGCUUCCUGAUCAAGAGCUUGUGACAUCCUGGACAACCUACUCUAAGGCUCAAGUUGCUCGUUUUGUAAAGUCACAGGAUCUGGAAGAAUGAUCAACAGAAUGCCCAUUACCAGCCUCAAUUAAGUGUUCAGAACAAUGUCUCCCACAACUGAAGU